CCAAGCCAGCGUGGUCCCGGACCACUCAUGAAGCGCCACGUGGUCCACGUGGCGCUUGUGGGGCCGGCUCGCCCGGAUGGAAAUUUUGCACAAAAAAAUAAUAUUCAUUAUUUCUCCUUAGCCCUGCACGCUAGCCCCUCUCUCUCUCUCUCUCUCUCCUCUGCACGCAUUUAUUUCUUCUCUCUCUUCUCCUCCUUCGUUUUCGCAUCGAAGAGGAAAACCCACCGCUCUUUCCUCUCUGGCUUUCAAAUUUAUUUUGAAUCUCUGCGAUUUCGCUCUCAAAUUUCGCUCGGCUUCCUCGUUGCUCCGGCGAUCCCUCCGUGGCGUUGUUGCUGCUCCGGCGAUCUUUCGCUCUCUGCUCAAUGCCAUACCGUCGAGAAAGGCGCCAGCCGCAAGCAAGGUUUGAAGGGAUGAUGGCUCCGAGCCAAGGGCAAGCGGCAUUGCUGACAUUCUGCUCCUGCAUUAGCCUCACUAGUGUUGGCCUUGUUCUUGCAAAUUGUUCUGGACAUUGGUAACAACUGGUUUUGGAUCAUUGCAUUAAGCCCCUUAGCUGGAGCACACUAUUGGAUGCGGGCAUCGUGGAAGGAGCAAA